GACGAACGCUGGCGGCGUGCUUAACACAUGCAAGUCGAACGGAAAGGCCUCUUUCGGGGGGUACUCGAGUGGCGAACGGGUGAGUAACACGUGAGUAACCUGCCCUUGACUUUGGGAUAACUUCAGGAAACUGGGGCUAAUACCGGAUAGGAGCUCCUGCUGCAUGGUGGGGGUUGGAAAGUUUCGGCGGUUGGGGAUGGACUCGCGGCUUAUCAGCUUGUUGGUGGGGUAGUGGCUUACCAAGGCUUUGACAGGUAGCCGGCCUGAGAGGGUGACCGGCCACAUUGGGACUGAGAUACGGCCCAGACUCCUACGGGAGGCAGCAGUGGGGAAUAUUGCACAAUGGGUGGAAGCCUGAUGCAGCAACGCCGUGUGCGGGAUGACGGCCUUCGGGUUGUAAACCGCUUUCGCUCAUGACGAAGCUUUGUGUGACGGUAGUGGGUAAAGAAGCACCGGCUAACUACGUG
rnacentral:rRNA from 1 species